rnacentral:rRNA from 1 species
AGGAUUAACGCUGGCGGCGUGCCUAACACAUGCAAGUCGAACGAGGGGGGCAACCCCCGAGCGGCAGACGGGUGAGUAACGCGUGGUCAACCUACCCUAGAGUGGGGAAUAACUAGCCGAAAGGUUAGCUAAUACCGCAUGAUACGUUUUGGGACAUCCCAGGACGUUGAAAGGAGCAAUCCGCUCGAGGACGGGACCGCGUCCGAUUAGCUAGUUGGUGAGGUAACGGCCCACCAAGGCUCCGAUCGGUAGCUGGUUUGAGAGAGCGACCAGCCACACUGGGACUGAGAAACGGCCCAGACUCCUACGGGAGGCAGCAGUGAGGAAUUUUCCGCAAUGGGCGAAAGCCUGACGGAGCGACGCCGCGUGUGGGAAGAAGGCCUUCGGGUCGUAAACCACUGUCGAAGGGGACUAGUACUGAAGGUACCCUUGGAGGAAGCCCGGCUAACUACGUGCCAGCAGCCGC